rnacentral:lncRNA from 1 species
AGUAGAAAAAAACACUUUGUUCUUUUUGUUUUGUUUUCUUUUUCUUAUAUAUAGAAACUUUUUUCCCAGAAAAACAGCCAAUGCAGCAUUUCCUGAAGCUCUGUUUGAAGGCCUUCUUUCGUAAGAAUGUCACUGGUUUUUUUUGCUUUUAAAGUACAGCAAAUCCCAUCCAGCUCCAUUUUUCUACAAAAGAUUUCGUGUGGAAAGGAAGAAUGUCCAAUCACACCAGUUGUCUGUGUAAAAGUCCGUUGGUCUGUCUGCUCCCUCGCCUUUAACCCAUUGGCCAAUUUCAGCAAAAGAGCAAGAGGUAUAGAAGUCCCCAAGAUUAUGUUGCAAGUUUCAUGAAAGUAGGUGACUGCACAGAGGAGAGAGUCAAUAUCCCCUCAGAGAGAAUAUUUCUGGGAUUCUAGGGGAGUUUAAUGGACUUGGGAUGGGGCACACAAAAUCAUGACAUUCUCAGAGGCUGGAGAACAUAAUCAGAACUUUAUAACUGCACAAGAGUUAUACAUACAUGUUCCAGGUAAAUACAUUUUUAUACUUUUUAUGAGGUUAUUGAAUAUUUCCCAUAAAAAUUCUCUUGGUUUCAUUAAGUAUUUUGCGUAAAAUGUUCUAUUACAUUCUAACUAGAUAGCAAGCUAGCAGCUAUUCUGCUUUUUCAAGUGAUUUUUAACUUUCCAUUUACUAAAACUCCAUCUGGAAGCUCCCCAGUAGGGACACCUUGAAGAUAGACCGCUGCAGACUUUAAGCUAACCUAGGAAGUCUAAAGCAUCCAAUCUUUUCAAUUCUUUAAAAUGAGAUUUGUGGCAAAUCCUACUGUGGGACUUUUGGAAGUAGGAUGAGUCUUUGUCUUCCACUAUAUUUCUCCCAGAUACUUAAUAACUAUGUAUUUUUUCACUUGAGAAAAUUACCCCUAGCAAGAAAAAAAAAGCGUCUUUAAAAAAAUAGAAUAUUUACAUAUAGACUUCCAAGGAAUGUUAUUAUCAUUUUUCAUUCUGUUUUUG